GCAAAAAAUCGACAGAAAAUAGCAUAGAUAUGUUUUCUUUCUUGAAAAGAAUGUAUAUAUGUUAACUCAUAAUCUAAUCUUUCAUAAGGGACUACAGAAUCUAUGAGGAGUAUUAGCUUUUAGUUAGUCUGUUUAGAUUACUCUUGUAUAUUAGUUUGUUUAGAUCUCUCUUGUAACCUCUUGUAACCACGACUUCCAACCUUAGCUUCAUUUAAUGAAAUUGUGCAAGAUUUAACCUACUCUCAAAGUUGAAUAUGGUAUCCGAGCACUAUUGAGAAUUUACGAGGGUUAUUUCAAUCUUUUCCUCUUUUUUGGUUACUUUGCCAUUCUUGAAUCAGUUUCUUCAAUUUUCACUUGCCAUGCCUGAUGAUGCACCUCAAGAUCCAGUAAAUCCCACUCCCACUACGAGCUUAUCUCUUCUUUGAACCAGUCUUCUCUAGUGCCACAUGCGAAUCCGUAUUUUCUUCAUCAUUCUGACAACACCAGCCUCGUUCUGGUUUCUGAUUUGCUCACAGAUGAGAACUAUACUUCAUGGAGUCGAUCCAUGACUAUUGCACUCACGGUGAAGAGCAAGAUUGGCUUCGUCGAUGGAACUCUUUUGUGACCUACGGAUGACACGUUGAGUUCCUGGAUCGUUUGUUAUGUGGCGAUAUCUUGGAUUUUUAACUCUCUUUCCAAAGAAAUCUCUGCUGGUGUUUUGUUCACUAAGAUCGCACAAGAAAUAUGGUUGGAUCUUAAAGAACGCUUCCAAUGCCAAAAUCGACCACGAAUUUUUCAGCUUAGGCGCGAUUUAUCAAAUUUUGUUCAAGAUCAGUUAUCUGUUAGUGAAUAUUAGUGCAUACUUCACCUGAUUGAAGAGUCUCUGGACCAAAUUGGCUUCUUACUGCCUUUUUUGCACCUGCGGCAAACGUUCAAGAGGUGGUGUUAAAGCUACAGUUGAAUACUUUCAAAUGGAGUAUGUCGUGUUUUUUGAUGGGUCUCAAGAAGUUUACAACAUGUGAUUUCGUCUCCUUCAUUUGCUAAUGCCACAGCACUUCUGGCGAAAAAUUCUUCCCAUACUUAUGGUUCAUGCUCCUCUUCCUCAUCUUCUUAGUACAAGAAAAAGGAGAAGUCCGUUUGUACUCAUUAUGACAUUGUAGGGCAUACAGUUGAUCGAUGCUAUAAGCUUCAUGGAGAUCCUCCAGGAAAUCCUUCCUCAAGCGUUAGUAAUUCUCCGACGACCACAUCUUCAAAAACUUCCACCACGUCUACCACUCUUCCUGAUUCUUUGGCUGGACUUAAUACUGAACAAUGCCAAGGACUAUUGAGUUUGUUGCAACUCAACUUUCUAAUGUUAAGAGUGACACUAUUCGGACCUUGGAGCAUCCUGAUUCUUUUCCUCAUACGUUGUAGAAAUUGAUGACUGCAAUGCGUCAGGCACGCAAGUAUUUCCAAAUUAUCAGAAAGGAUGCACUAGCCAAUUGUUUUGGAACUUCCAGCUUCGCAGUGCGCCAUAGAUUGUCAAAACGGGAAUAACAACUUUUUGGUCCAAGAUUCAGUUUGACUCCUAAAAUCUCUACAAAUAGUGUUCCUCACUCUCAUUGGUGGGAUGCAAUGCGUGCUGGAUGGGAUGCCAUGGAAGCUAAUAAUACUUGGUUCACAGUGCUUUUGCCUUCCGGCCACUAUUCAAUUGGAUGGAAAUGAUUUUACAAGAUCAAACAUCAUUCUAAUGGAUCUAUUGAGCGUUAUAAAGCGAGGUUUGUAGCUAAGGGUUUCAUUAAGCAAGAAUGCCUUGAUUAUAUUGAAAGUUUCUCACCUGUUGCUAAAUUAGUUACGGUCAAGAUCUUACUUCAUCUUGCUAUUUCAUAUAAUUGGCCCUUAGUACAAUUGGAUGUUAAUAAUGCUUUUUUUUACAUGGGGAUUUGUUUGAGGAGGUGUAUAUAGAUUUGCCUUUAGGAUAUAAGUAUGAUAAGGUUUUCCCUAAGGGGGAGCAUUUAGUUUGUCGACUUUAUAAGUCAAUUUAUGGACUCAAACAAGAAUCUCGUCCGUGGUUUGACAAGUUUUCACAUGCUUUAUUACUCCUUGGUUUUAGGUAAACUAAGUCGGAUUAUUUUAUGUUUGUAAAAGGAUCUGGUGAUAACUUUUUUGCUCUUCUUGUUUACGUCGAAGAUAUUAUCAUUACUGGUGCAUCUUCCUCUUUGAUCUAUGAUAUUAUCAUUACAUGGGUAUUGCACAUCAAUCCAUACUUCAAGAGGGGCAACACUAUUCUCCUUAGUUUACGGUAUUGAGGUUGUUCUUCCGUUAGAAGUGGAGAUACCAUCAUUAAGGGUUCUUAUGGAAACUAAAUUGUAAGAAGUUGAAUGGAUACGUGCUCCGUACGAACAAUUGAACUUUGUGGAAGAAAAACGGUUAACAGCUUUAAGUCAUGGACAACUUUAUCAAAGAAGAUGAAUGCGUGCAUAUGAUAAAAAAGUACUUCUGAGAAGGAGAUCUAAUAUUGAAAAGGAUACUUCCCUCUCAACAAAAAGAUUAUCGAGGAAAGUGGAGUCCAAAUUAUGAAGGCUCGUAUAUUGUAAAAAAGGAAUUUUCUGGAGGAACUUUGUUUUUAACUAAUAUGGAUGGAGAUGAAUUGAAAAGUCCAGUCAAUGUAGACUAUGUCCUAAAGUAAUACGCAUGAAGGUAUUGACCUUAGAAGAUUUCCUACAGUUCAGAAACGUUCGAGAGUAGCUUUUGAAAAUCUUGCAUUUAGUUCUUUAAAUGUUGUUUUCUCUCGUUGAAAUAAUUCGUACGUUCUUGUAUAUAUUUCUCAGUUUAUAUAUUUCGUCUUCUACU